AAAUUGAAGAGUUUGAUCAUGGCUCAGAUUGAACGCUGGCGGCAGGCCUAACACAUGCAAGUCGAGCGGUAGCACAGAGAGCUUGCUCUCGGGUGACGAGCGGCGGACGGGUGAGUAAUGUCUGGGAAACUGCCUGAUGGAGGGGGAUAACUACUGGAAACGGUAGCUAAUACCGCAUAACGUCGCAAGACCAAAGUGGGGGACCUUCGGGCCUCAUGCCAUCAGAUGUGCCCAGAUGGGAUUAGCUAGUAGGUGGGGUAACGGCUCACCUAGGCGACGAUCCCUAGCUGGUCUGAGAGGAUGACCAGCCACACUGGAACUGAGACACGGUCCAGACUCCUACGGGAGGCAGCAGUGGGGAAUAUUGCACAAUGGGCGCAAGCCUGAUGCAGCCAUGCCGCGUGUGUGAAGAAGGCCUUCGGGUUGUAAAGCACUUUCAGCGGGGAGGAAGGCGUUAAGGUUAAUAACCUUGGCGAUUGACGUUACCCGCAGAAGAAGCACCGGCUAACUCCGUGCCAGCAGCCGCGGUAAUACGGAGGGUGCAAGCGUUAAUCGGAAUUACUGGGCGUAAAGCGCACGCAGGCGGUCUGUCAAGUCGGAUGUGAAAUCCCCGGGCUCAACCUGGGAACUGCAUUCGAAACUGGCAGGCUAGAGUCUUGUAGAGGGGGGUAGAAUUCCAGGUGUAGCGGUGAAAUGCGUAGAGAUCUGGAGGAAUACCGGUGGCGAAGGCGGCCCCCUGGACAAAGACUGACGCUCAGGUGCGAAAGCGUGGGGAGCAAACAGGAUUAGAUACCCUGGUAGUCCACGCCGUAAACGAUGUCGAUUUGGAGGUUGUGCCCUUGAGGCGUGGCUUCCGGAGCUAACGCGUUAAAUCGACCGCCUGGGGAGUACGGCCGCAAGGUUAAAACUCAAAUGAAUUGACGGGGGCCCGCACAAGCGGUGGAGCAUGUGGUUUAAUUCGAUGCAACGCGAAGAACCUUACCUGGUCUUGACAUCCACAGAACUUUCCAGAGAUGGAUUGGUGCCUUCGGGAACUGUGAGACAGGUGCUGCAUGGCUGUCGUCAGCUCGUGUUGUGAAAUGUUGGGUUAAGUCCCGCAACGAGCGCAACCCUUAUCCUUUGUUGCCAGCGGUUCGGCCGGGAACUCAAAGGAGACUGCCAGUGAUAAACUGGAGGAAGGUGGGGAUGACGUCAAGUCAUCAUGGCCCUUACGACCAGGGCUACACACGUGCUACAAUGGCAUAUACAAAGAGAAGCGACCUCGCGAGAGCAAGCGGACCUCAUAAAGUAUGUCGUAGUCCGGAUUGGAGUCUGCAACUCGACUCCAUGAAGUCGGAAUCGCUAGUAAUCGUAGAUCAGAAUGCUACGGUGAAUACGUUCCCGGGCCUUGUACACACCGCCCGUCACACCAUGGGAGUGGGUUGCAAAAGAAGUAGGUAGCUUAACCUUCGGGAGGGCGCUUACCACUUUGUGAUUCAUGACUGGGGUGAAGUCGUAACAAGGUAACCGUAGGGGAACCUGCGGUUGGAUCACCUCCUUA
rfam:Klebsiella pneumoniae IS46, WGS project CBWL01000000 data, contig: c45